rnacentral:rRNA from 1 species
UAAGUGGUUGAUGCCAUGCUUCCAAGAAAAGCCUCUAAGCUUCAGAUAACGAGAGACCGUACCCCAAACCGACACAGGUGGUCAGGUAGAGAAUACCAAGGCGCUUGAGAGAACUCUGGUGAAGGAACUAGGCAAAAUGGCACCGUAACUUCGGGAGAAGGUGCACUGCUGGUGGUGAAGGGUUUACCCCGUAAGCUACUGGCAGUCGAAGAUACCAGGCCGCUGCGACUGUUUAUUAAAAACACAGCACUCUGCAAACACGAAAGUGGACGUAUAGGGUGUGACGCCUGCCCGGUGCCGGAAGGUUAAUUGAUGGGGUCAGCCGCAAGGCGAAGCUCUUGAUCGAAGCCCCGGUAAACGGCGGCCGUAACAAUAACGGUCCUAAGGUAGCGAAAUUCCUUGUCGGGUAAGUUCCGACCUGCACGAAUGGCGUAACGAUGGCGGCGCUGUCUCCACCAGAGACUCAGUGAAAUCGAAAUCGCGGUGAAGAUGCCGUGUACCCGUGGCUAGACGGAAAGACCCCGUGAACCUUUACUGUAGCUUCACACUGGACUUUGACAUGAUCUGUGUAGGAUAGCUGGGAGGCUUUGAAGUGCGGACGCCAGUUCGCAUGGAGCCAACCUUGAAAUACCAGCCUGGUCCUGUCGGGGUUCUAACGUCGACCUGUUAUCCAGGUUACGGACAGUGUGUGGUGGGCAGUUUGACUGGGGCGGUCUCCUCCCAAAGAGUAACGGAGGAGCACGAAGGUGCGCUAAUCACGGUCGGAAAUCGUGAGGUUAGUGUAAAGGCACAAGCGCGCUUGACUGCGAGACAAACAAGUCGAGCAGGUACGAAAGUAGGUCUUAGUGAUCCGGUGGUUCUGUAUGGAAGGGCCAUCGCUCAACGGAUAAAAGGUACUCCGGGGAUAACAGGCUGAUACCGCCCAAGAGUUCAUAUCGACGGCGGUGUUUGGCACCUCGAUGUCGGCUCAUCACAUCCUGGGGCUGAAGCCGGUCCCAAGGGUAUGGCUGUUCGCCAUUUAAGGUGGUACGCGAGCUGGGUUUAGAACGUCGUGAGACAGUUCGGUCCCUAUCUGCCAUGGGCGUUGGAGAUUUGAGAAGAGUUGCUCCUAGUACGAGAGGACCGGAGUGAACGAACCUCUGGUGUACCGGUUGUUUCGCCAGAAGCAUCGCCGGGUGGCUAAGUUCGGACGGGAUAACCGCUGAAAGCAUCUAAGCGGGAAGCCUCCUUCAAGAUGAGAUCUCCCUGGGGCCUUGAGCCCCCUAAAGGGCCGUCGAAGACUACGACGUUGAUAGGCGGGGUGUGGAAGCGCUGUGAGGCGUUGAGCUGACCCGUACUAAUUGCCCGUGAGGCUUGACCGA